CGUACACUCCUGCGGGAGGCAGCAGUGGGGAAUAUUGGACAAUGGGCGCAAGCCUGAUCCAGCCAUGCCGCGUGAGUGAUGAAGGCCCUAGGGUUGUAAAGCUCUUUCACCGGUGAAGAUAAUGACGGUAACCGGAGAAGAAGCCCCGGCUAACUUCGUGCCAGCAGCCGCGGUAAUACGAAGGGGGCUAGCGUUGUUCGGAUUUACUGGGCGUAAAGCGCACGUAGGCGGACUAUUAAGUCAGGGGUGAAAUCCCGGGGCUCAACCCCGGAACUGCCUUUGAUACUGGUAGUCUUGAGUUCGAGAGAGGUGAGUGGAAUUCCGAGUGUAGAGGUGAAAUUCGUAGAUAUUCGGAGGAACACCAGUGGCGAAGGCGGCUCACUGGCUCGAUACUGACGCUGAGGUGCGAAAGCGUGGGGAGCAAACAGGAUUAGAAACCCGGGUAGUCCCAU
rnacentral:rRNA from 1 species